AAAGUUGAACAGAAAUCAUUAAUCAAAAUACCAUUUGCUCAAUCUUCAAGUGGUUGUUGAAGUGAUGGUGAGUAAACUACUGUCAUAGGAAAUGAUCAAUUUUGUAGGCUUCUAAUCAAUACUCAAGGUCAAAAGAGAAUUUAUAGGAGAUUGUCUAAGUCACAAAAUGGAGACACAUACAAAAAUUAGAAGAGAGCUAAGUGGAACGCUGAAAAAAUAGUCAUGAAAGCUAGAUUCUUUUCUGAGCUAUAUAGAAUUCUUGGGGCAUG
rnacentral:misc_RNA from 1 species